rnacentral:tRNA from 4 species
GCCGGAGUGGCGAAAUGGUAGACGCGCACGGUUUAGGACCGUGUGGAGUAAUCCUUGGAGGUUCAAGUCCUCUCUCCGGCA